rnacentral:rRNA from 1 species
CAGACAUAACACAUGCAAGUCGUACGGUCAGUAGCUAUAGUGAUAGUGGCGCACGGGUGCGUCACACGUUACUAAUCUACCUACAACUGGGGGAUAGCCACCCGAAAGACAGGAUUAAUACCGCAUGACACUUAGUUUCGGCAUCGGGAUAUAGUUCAAGAUUUAUUGUUUGUAGAUGAGUUUGCGGGUCAUUAGGUAGUUGGUAAGGUAACGGAUUUCCAAGGACGCACGAUGAGUAGGGUAGCUGAGAGGCUGGUCCCCCACACGGGCACUGAGAUACGGGCCCGACUCUUACGGGAGGCAGCAGUAGGGGAUACUGGGCUAUGUGCGAGAGCAUGACCCAGCCAUGCCGCGCGCAGUAAGAAGGCUAUCCCACUCUUUCACUGAUUUUCACAGGGAAGAAUCACCUGUACGUGUUUAGUCAUGACGGUACAUGCUGCAUGAUCCCGGUCGACUUGCAGCCAGCAGCCGCGGUAAU